GCCGCGUGUGUGAAGAAGGCCUGCGGGUUGUAAAGCACUUUCAGUAGAGAAGAAAAGCCUACGGUUAAUAACCGUGAGUCUUGACGUAACCUACAGAAGAAGCACCGGCUAACUCCGUGCCAGCAGCCGCGGUAAUAAUCACU
rnacentral:rRNA from 1 species